AAGACUAUAGACCUGCGGAGUACCUGCGGAGGGAUCAUUAAAGAGAAAACUGCCCUUUGGGUAGAUCUCCCACCCUUUGUUUACCUUACCUUUGUUGCUUUGGCAGGCCCGUCUUCUGACCACCGGCUUUUAGCUGGUCCGUGCCUGCCAGAGGACCCCCAACUCUUGAUUUCAAGUUGUCCGAGUCUUAUAUAAUAGUAAAAACUUUCAACAACGGAUCUCUAGAUCGGAAGAGCACAC
rnacentral:misc_RNA from 1 species